AUACACUAAAUAAUGAUGCUUGAGCGUAUAGAACAUAUUGAAGAAAUUAAUGCAUGCCGCAGUGUUGAAUACAGGAUUUAACUAAAAAUUUGUUCAACAACUAAAAACAUAUUUAUAGUUAAAGGAAAACCUACCAAAUCAAGCAACAUCACAUCAUCAUCAUCAUUGGCAAGACGUGCUAGGUCAGAAGCCCUCGGUCCAGUUAUUAGUUCAAGAAGCAUCACACCAUAUGCAAAAACAUCGAUCUUUUCUGAAGACCUUCUAGUUAAGAGAUACUCAGGUGCUAUAUGCUUCCAAUUCCUCAUGGGCCGCAUGGGGAGGGUGUGUCCCGUUUGGCUUCAAUUUGGUGGAGAGAUUUGGCUAAAGUGGAGGAGUUGGGUGGGGAAAAUUGGUUCAAAUCAGAGGUAGUUCGUAAGAUGGGAGAUGGAUUGAGUACUAGUUUUUGGAGGGAUAGGUGGCGUACCGAGAUUCCGUUGAUGCAUCUAUUCCCAC
rnacentral:lncRNA from 1 species